UACAGAGGGGGCAAGCGUUAUUCGGAAUUAUUGGGCGUAAAGGGCGCGUAGGCGGCCUGGCAAGUGGAAGGUGAAAUCCCUCGGCUUAACUGAGGAACUGCCCUCCAAACUGCUUGGCUUGAGUCCGGGAGAGGUGAGUGGAAUUCCCAGUGUAGCGGUGAAAUGCGUAGAUAUUGGGAGGAACACCAGUGGCGAAGGCGGCUCACUGGACCGGAACUGACGCUGAGGCGCGAAAGCGUGGGGAGCAAACGGG
rnacentral:rRNA from 1 species